ACUCCAGACUCCUACGGGAGGCAGCAGUGAGGAAUAUUGGUCAAUGGGCGGAAGCCUGGACCAGCCAAGUCGCGUGAGGGAAUAAGGCCCUACGGGUCGUAAACCUCUUUUGCCGGGGAGCAAGGGCGGGGACGUGUCCCGGCCCGGAGAGUACCCGGAGAAAAAGCAUCGGCUAACUCCGUGCCAGCAGCCGCGGUAAUACGGAGGAUGCGAGCGUUAUCCGGAUUUAUUGGGUUUAAAGGGUGCGUAGGCGGGCUGUUAAGGCAGCGGUCAAAUGUCGGGGCUCAACCCCGGCCUGCCGUUGAAACUGGCGGCCUCGAGUGGGCGAGAAGUAUGCGGAAUGCGUGGUGUAGCGGUGAAAUGCAUAGAUAUCACGCAGAGCCCCGAUUGCGAAGGCAGCCUUCCGGCGCCCUACUGACGCUGAGGCACGAAAGUGCGGGGGUCGAACAGGAUUAGAUACCCGCGUAAA
rnacentral:rRNA from 1 species